rnacentral:siRNA from 1 species
GAUGGUAAUACAACGAAUCAACG